GUAACACAGGAGGAAAUCAACCCUGAAUAUUCGUUGGAAGGACUGAUGCGGAAGCUAAAGCACCAAUAUCUGGGCCUCCUGAUGCCAAGAGUCGGCUCAGUGGAAAAGACCGUGAUGCUGGGAAAGAUUGAGGGCAGGAGGAGAAGAGGGUGACAGAGGAUGAGAUGGUUGGACGGCAUCAUCGACUUAAUGGGCCAGAGUUUGAGCAAGCCCUGGGAGAUGGUGAAGGACAGGGAAGCCUGGCGUGCUGCCAUCCAUGGGGUCGCAAAGAGCUGGAUACAACUUAGCGACUGAACAACUGCAACAGCUGAGGUGCAGGGAGUGAGGUCUGAAUUCUUGUUCUAGCUGUGUGGCCUCAGACAAGUCAUCUCACCUCUUGGAGCCUCGAUUUUACCAUCUUUCCAAUGGGGAUAAUAAUAUUUAUUGCUAUCAUGCAAGGAGGAAUAAAUGACAUGAGAGAGUUAUGUAAGGUGCCCAGCACUGUGCCUGGCACAGAGAAAGUAUCUGAUAAACGGAAACUACUAUUAAUGAAAUGCAGCAGUUUGGGAUGAGAGAUUUGGCUUCUUUAACAAACCUGUCUUGGAGAGAUUUUUACAUCCUACUGUUCUGUGCUAAAGAGACAACUAAAUUCCUGUUUACAUAUAAACCUAAACCCUCUUAUUCUAACUGUGCCACCACCUUAAAAGACAUAUAUUUAUGCUUUCGCUUUUAGCUGUUCAUAUGUUUAAAAGUGGCACACACUUCCAGUGUGAUUAUGCUAAUGUACACAGGAGUUUAACAACUGUGCUCUCUGCUCUAACCAUCUAUUUGAACUACAUUGUGCAAAUAAGAUGUUAUCUUAAAUAAGCUCCUAAUAUAACUCAGUAAUCACUAUAAUGCUUUUUUGGUGAAAUUGUGGUGUUAUUACUGAAUUUAGUCAUGAGUCUCAGAUGCCGAACCUUCGAACAAACACCAGCAGUGCCCAGUUGCCGAGUUCCCAGCCACGAGGAGAUGGACGUAGUCAUCCUGGGAGGCUGGAAAGGGGGGCAGCGGCUGGCAUGUGCGAGGUCCUGGGUCCGACACCCACAGGAGAGGGUGAGCCAGGGUGUAGGAUCGCACCUGUCGGAGGGAGGGUCACCCUUAUCAGAAGCCUCAUCACAAAGUGGAGAAGGAAUAAGCACCGCAGGCCCACACAUUCCAGCCACAGGAAGGCUGGGUCUGACUCACAAGGUGGAAUGCGGGCCGGGAAGGACUUUAGCCAGCUCCGAGGGUCCUCUCUGCCUGGCAGACGCCAUCUGCACCGCCUCCCGGGAACUUUGCUUGCAGCCUGGAGGUGGUGGCGUGGCUGAGCCUUUCCUGAGUCUAUGUGAAUGCGGUUUCACUGGGGGACAGUUGACUCCAUGCUUAGCUCCCUCUGGGUGA
ensembl:lncRNA